rnacentral:rRNA from 1 species
CGAUGAUCAGGAGCUUGCUCCUGUGAUUAGUGGCGAACGGGUGAGUAACACGUGAGUAACCUGCCCCUGACUCUGGGAUAAGCGUUGGAAACGACGUCUAAUACUGGAUAUGAUCACUGGUCGCAUGGCCUGGUGGUGGAAAGAUUUUUUGGUUGGGGAUGGACUCGCGGCCUAUCAGCUUGUUGGUGAGGUAAUGGCUCACCAAGGCGACGACGGGUAGCCGGCCUGAGAGGGUGACCGGCCACACUGGGACUGAGACACGGCCCAGACUCCUACGGGAGGCAGCAGUGGGGAAUAUUGCACAAUGGGCGAAAGCCUGAUGCAGCAACGCCGCGUGAGGGAUGACGGCCUUCGGGUUGUAAACCUCUUUUAGUAGGGAAGAAGGGAGCUUCGGUUCUUGACGGUACCUGCAGAAAAAGCACCGGCUAACUACGUGCCAGCAGCCGCGGUAAUACGUAGGGUGCAAGCGUUGUCCGGAAUUAUUGGGCGUAAAGAGCUCGUAGGCGGUUUGUCGCGUCUGCUGUGAAAUCCCGAGGCUCAACCUCGGGCUUGCAGUGGGUACGGGCAGACUAGAGUGCGGUAGGGGAGAUUGGAAUUCCUGGUGUAGCGGUGGAAUGCGCAAAUAUCAGGAGGAACACCGAUGGCGAAGGCAGAUCUCUGGGCCGUAACUGACGCUGAGGAGCGAAAGCAUGGGGAGCGAACAGGAUUAGAUACCCUGGUAGUCCAUGCCGUAAACGUUGGGCGCUAGAUGUAGGGACCUUUCCACGGUUUCUGUGUCGUAGCUAACGCAUUAAGCGCCCCGCCUGGGGAGUACGGCCGCAAGGCUAAAACUCAAAGGAAUUGACGGGGGCCCGCACAAGCGGCGGAGCAUGCGGAUUAAUUCGAUGCAACGCGAAGAACCUUACCAAGGCUUGACAUACACCGGAAACGGCCAGAGAUGGUCGCCCCCUUGUGGUCGGUGUACAGGUGGUGCAUG